rnacentral:rRNA from 1 species
UACCAGCACCCCGAGUGGUCGGGACGAUUAUUGGGCCUAAAGCAUCCGUAGCCGGCCUUACAAGUCCCCCGUUAAAUCCAACUGCUUAACAGAUGGGCUGCGGAGGAUACUAUAAGACUAGGAGGCAGGAGAGGCAAGCGGUACUCAGUGGGUAGGGGUAAAAUCCGUUUGAUCCAUUGAAGACCACCAGUGGCGAAGGCGGCUUG